rnacentral:lncRNA from 1 species
CAUAUCUAACCCGAGCCAAACAGCUAAAGAACAACUCAGCCGCCAGGUGCCGCCUGCCAUGACCAACAUGGCUGUCACCCCGAGCGACAAUUUCAGUAGAAUUUCUGCACUCAGAUUCGAAAUAUCCCGCGCAAUGUGCGUCCGCGUUGUUUUUCUGUUUGGAGUAGCCGCGCUAGCGCUGCAGGCGCUGCAGAGAAUGCCGCGCCAAACCCGAAACUACGCCACCGUACCGAAACUUUCGAAACGCCGCGCCGACGGGUCUUCGGAGUGCGCGCGCUCGAAGCGACCAAGCGGCAGCCAUUACCACCAGCGUCGGCGCAUUGUUCUGCCGUCGUUGGUGUCUCCCGCAGUUUCGAACAGCCAAGACUCCACGACUGCAGCCGUUUCAUUGCCAGCUGUAAGGAUGAAGCAGCUUCAUAGCCGGACAUCAGACGCCUUCCAAGUUCCCCUUUUCAGCAACAGAGGCAUAGGAUGCCAUUCUACCUGUGCUGCAUUGUGUGGCUGACCACUCCUAGGAUCUCAGCAGAAUCAUUACACAGUUUCAGAAGCCACAAUUGCCUGGCAUGCUGUCUGGUCAUGAUGCGUGGCUACAAUGAAGUCCUGCUGACCCCAAGCAUGGUGUGAAAUGAAGAAAUGGCACUCCACAUCCAUAGAGAGCUUGAUUUCCCCUGUUUCAUGCUUACUUGUUGGCAUAGCCAGUCUGUUAGCUUAAUUUUU